ACUCCCAACCCAUGUGAACUUACCUUUUGUUGCCUCGGCAGAAGUUAUAGGUCUUCUUAUAGCUGCUGCCGGUGGACCAUUAAACUCUUGUUAUUUUAUGUAAUCUGAGCGUCUUAUUUUAAUAAGUCAAAACUUUCAACAACGGAUCUCUUGGUUCUGGCAUCGAUGAAGAACGCAGCGAAAUGCGAUAAGUAAUGUGAAUUGCAGAAUUCAGUGAAUCAUCGAAUCUUUGAACGCACAUUGCGCCCAUUAGUAUUCUAGUGGGCAUGCCUGUUCGAGCGUCAUUUCAACCCUUAAGCCUAGCUUAGUGUUGGGAAUCUACUUCUCUUAGGAGUUGUAGUUCCUGAAAUACAACGGCGGAUUUGUAGUAUCCUCUGAGCGUAGUAAUUUUUUUCUCGCUUUUGUUAGGUGCUAUAACUCCCAGCCGCUAAACCCCCAAUUUUUUGUGGUUGACCUCGGAUCAGGUAGGAAUACCCGCUGAACUUAAGCAUAUCAAUAAGCGGAGGAAAAGAAACCAACAGGGAUUGCCUUAGUAACGGCGAGUGAAGCGGCAACAGCUCAAAUUUGAAAUCUGGCCCUUGGGUCCGAAUUGUAAUUUGUAGAGGAUGAUUUUGGUGCGGUAUCUUCCGAGUUCCUUGGAACAGGACGCCUUAGAGGGUGAGAGCCCCGUACGGUUGAAUGCCUAGCCUCUGUAAAUCUCCUUCGACGAGUCGAGUAGUUUGGGAAUGCUGCUCUAAAUGGGAGGUAAAUUUCUUCUAAAGCUAAAUAUUGGCCAGAGACCGAUAGCGCACAAGUAGAGUGAUCGAAAGAUGAAAAGCACUUUGAAAAGAGGGUUAAAUAGCACGUGAAAUUGUUGAAAGGGAAGGAUUUGUGACCAGACUUUUUCUGGGCGGAUCAUCCGGGGUUCUCUCCGGUGCACUUCGCCCAGUAAAGGCCAGCAUCGGUUUUCGGCGUGGGAUAAAAGCAAUAGGAAUGUGGCUCUCUACGGGGAGUGUUAUAGCCUAUUGUAUAAUACCGCGCUGGGGACCGAGGUCGCGC
rnacentral:rRNA from 1 species